rnacentral:rRNA from 1 species
AUUGAACGCUGGCGGCAGGCUUAACACAUGCAAGUCGAGCGAGCGGCGGACGGGGGAGUAAUGGCGGGGAAACUGCCUGAUGGAGGGGGAUAACUACUGGAAACGGGAGCUAAUACCGCAUACCAUCAGAUGUGCCCAGAUGGGAUUAGCUAGUAGGUGGGGUAAUGGCUCACCUAGGCGACGAUCCCUAGGUGGUCUGAGAGGAUGACCAGCCUACCUGGCACUGAUCCACGUUCCCGACUCCAACGGGGGGCAGCAGUGGAGAAUAUUGCACGAUGUGCGCACGCCUGAUGCAGCCAUGCCGCGUGUGUGAAGAAGGCCUUCGGGUUGUAAAGCACUUUCAGCGAUGAGGCGUUGCUCGCAGAAGAGGCCCCGGCUAACUCCGUGCCAGCAGCCGCGGUAAUAC